ensembl:lncRNA
UAAGGCGUGAGUAGAGGGUAGUGAAGGGGGUGCAAAUCCACCCCCAAAGAGCCAAGAGAUUUCAGAUCAUGAGCUGACAAGAGUCUGAAGCCUCCAGGUUCCCACAAGAUCCCACCCGACACUAAAAAUACCCCGGGCCGUUCUGGAGCUUCUGUAAUCAAGAACAUCUUUUUUUUCACAUCUUCCACUCGCCCAAUAGAUUUUGUUUUGGCAACAGAUUAAUGUCUUAGCCUUCGUGAACCAUUACUGUAUAUCAUGCUGCAGGUACAGCUAUACUCCUAGACAGCGUCCUUACUCAGAAGGCCGAAAUAAACCCUGACAUCAUUCCAUCAGACUUCCACGAGCUAAGCACCUCCUCAGAAAAGGCUACAUGUGUUUAACAUCUUGUUGCAACAUCUUGCUUGCUGUAUUUUUAGAGUGGAAACCACAGAGAUGUGUAAAGAGUGACAGUGCUUCGUCUGAGACUGUAAUGGUGCAGGCCAUUGUUGGCUGCAGCUGUUGCAUGUAGGGGGAACAGAAGGACGAGACUUGGGAAGGGCAGGGAAUCCCAGAUGUAUGCGAGGAUGCAGGGCUCCCUGGAGAGAGACAGAGGUGCGGGGAAGACAAUCCAACAGACAUGACAGACCUCGGCCAUUGUCCGUGGUUUGACCACGGCAGCGGACAAUGGAUGUCCUCAAGCGUGAACUGUCACAGACAUCUCAGGCAGUUGGCCAUUACAGAGGAAGUGACAGAGGUGGGGAGCAUGGACGGGAAAAGGAAGAAAAGCCCUGAAAAUGAAGGAGUCGAGUCAUAAUGCUGAGUCAUGAGGGAGAGGAAGGCAAAGCAGACGCCUGAAGAAAUACACAAAAAUGGCACAACACUGAAAAAUACACCCAUCUCGGAUUGUUUAAAUAUUUGUCUAAAAUGGGUUCGAUUUAAUUUCAUACAUGUUACCUUUUAGGUAAUGAAUCCCAAUACAUGCCCUGAGACAAACAGCUGAAGGAAUAGCAACAUG